CCCACGUUCGGAUUGCAGGCUGAAAUUCGCCUGUAUGAAGCCGGAAUUGCUAGUAAUGGCAGGUCAGCAUACUGCCGUGAAUACGUUCCCGGGCCUUGUACACACCGCCCGUCACACCAUGAGAGUCGGGAACACCCGAAGUCCGUAGUCUAACCGCAAGGAGGGCGCGGCCGAAGGUGGGUCCGGUAAUUGGGGUGAAGUCGUAACAAGGUAGC
rnacentral:rRNA from 1 species